CUCUGGAAAGCAGGCGACAUGGGUGUUUCAUGUGCGCCUCGCCGAAGAUGUAAGCCCGAUCCGGUGCAAAUCCUGCCCCGGAAAAGGUGAUUCUUUCAGGCUCCAAGACAGAG
rnacentral:ncRNA from 2 species